rnacentral:misc_RNA from 1 species
GAAAUGCGAUAAGUAAUGUGAAUUGCAGAAUUCAGUGAAUCAUCGAAUCUUUGAACGCACAUUGCGCCCCCUGGUAUUCCGGGGGGCAUGCCUGUUCGAGCGUCAUUACAACCCUCAAGCUCUGCUUGGUAUUGGGCCUCGCCGGUUCCGGCGGGCCUCAAAGUCAGUGGCGGUGCCGUCCAGCUCCGAGCGCAGUAAUUCUUCUCGCUCCGGUGCCCUGGGCGCGUGCUCGCCAGCAACCCCCAAUUUUUUCAGGUUGACCUCGGAUCAGGUAGGGAUACCCGCUGAACUUAA